GCGACACCGCGNUGAGGGAUGAAGGUUUUAGGAUCGUAAACCUCUUUUAUUAGGGAAUAGCAAGGAAGGUACCUAAUGAAUAAGGUACGGCUAACUACGUGCCAGCAGCCGCGGUAAUACGUAGGUACCGAACGUUGUCCGGAAUCACUGGGCGUAAAGGGUCCGUAGGCGGUUUGAUAAGUCUCAUAUGAAAACUUCAAGCUUAACUUGGAGAGGUUGUGAGAUACUGUCAAACUAGAGACUGUUAGAGGUAAGUGGAAUUCCAGGUGUAGUGGUGAAAUGCGUAGAUAUCUGGAGGAACACCAGUGGCGAAAGCGACUUACUGGGACAGUUCUGACGCUAAGGGACGAAAGCGUGGGGAGCGAACCGGAUUAGAUACCCGGGUAGUCCACGCCGUAAACGAUGAUUGCUAGGUUUUCGGGGCAUCGACCCCUCGUGAGCCGAAGUUAACGCGUUAAGCAAUCCGCCUGAGUAGUACGGCCGCAAGGCUAAAACUCAAAGAAAUUGACGGGGGACCGCACAAGCAGCGGAGCGUGUGGUUUAAUUCGAUGGUAAGCGAAGAACCUUACCAGGGUUUGACAUGUAAGUAGUACUGAACCGAAAGGGGAUGGACCCGCAAGGGAGCUUACACAGGUGUUGCAUGGUUGUCGUCAGCUCGUGCCGUGAGGUGUUGGGUUAAGUCCCGCAACGAGCGCAACCCUCUUUGUUAGUUGCACUCUCUAACGAUACUGCCCUUAAAAGGGAGGAAGGUGGGGAUGACGUCAAAUC
rnacentral:rRNA from 1 species